AGUUGUUCGUUUGAAUUGAAGUCACAAUUUCAACAAUGUCAUGCCCACACAGCCAAAAACAAAACCACUCAAAACUUUCAAUCCUCGUCCUUUUUAGGAAGGUACCUUCGUUGUUAUAUUUCGUCAAAUCAAGCAUGACACAGGAUCCAACGGUUAUAUUUCAAACAUUUUGGAUAAUUUCAAUGAAGGAUAUGUAAUAACUAUAUACUCAUUUGUGUUUUUUUUUUUUUGGUGAAUGUCUAUUUUACAUGUCUUAGGAUAUUUAUAUACUAUACCACAUGCAUAAGAUUCUGUUUUGGGUGAUACUAAACUGCCAUUUAUAUGCUUUCAUAUUAUGAAUUGUAUAAGAUGCUUUUUUUAGUAUCUCGGUUAUGUUUAUGUGAAUGCAGAUGAGUUCAAGUAAAUAAUACGUCGAAUUCAAUGAUCAUCGACCUGAGAUAUAUAUGUCUUGGGAUGAGGCACGGUUGCAUGUAGAAGGAUAUAAUGGUGCCAGACAUCGAUCCUUCAAAUCAUUCCAAGAUGCGACUGCAUGAUGGAAUUCUAACCAUGCAAGUACGAAUAGUGGGUUAAUGUUUUGUGGUGAGGUUGAUUCACCUACCUAUGCCACCAAUUCGAUCCAAGAAAUUUCGAGAUCUAUGGUGUGCAAGAGUACCCAAACAAAUGAUACUCCCACAAAUGACGGGGAAACGGUGGCUGCAAUAGUAAUUGCCAUCUUGGUUACAUUCUUCAUAUUAUAUAUAAUCAUUAAGUUCUAGUUUCAGUGUUCCAGUACUUAUUCUCACACUGAUUUUGGUAGACAUCAGAUAUUUGAAUCCCGUACCCUUUUUCAAUGGCACGUAUAACUGUAGGAUACGAAUAUGUUUUAAUUAUCUCUAAAUCUGUAUGUAUUUAAUUGUAUCUGAUCUAUUUCAGGUGAAUGUUAAUGUAACAUGUGUUUUAAUUUCCUACAUGCAUUCCAUUCUUUUAACAAUCGUCCCAUAUUCUCCAUGAGAAUGGAGUUCACGACAUUCCGUCCAGGUACCUGAACACAAGUUCCCAAGAGCCAGGUAGUACUCAGACCUGGUAGAAGAAUAUGCAUUACAUUUGUUUGGGUUGAUGUUGUAUACUUUUCAUCCAUCACCAAAUUUCUCCUUCUUGAGGUAUGAUAUGCGUUCCUGCAAAUUUCUCCUUCUUGAGGUGUGAUAUGCAUUCCAACAAAUUUCUUUUAUUCGUAGUCGGGUCAUUAUUGAUUUACUAAACAGUUUAUCCAUGAAUGCCCUUCUUCUCAACCUCCUCCUAUAGUAAGGUCAUGCACCAAACAAUCGCACAGGCCAGACUCCAACUUUGGGACUUGAUUCUCUCGACUUGUACAAUAAUUCAUGUCCCUGGUUCACGAUCCGUGAGGUGGCUCCAUCUUUCUGAUCUAUCACACAACAAACAUUAUGGUUGUCUUGUAGGAGAGAUAGGAGCAACGUGACAGAAGUGACAGAAUUUUAUGUGAUG